GGGAGCUGGGGGUGUUUAGCCUGGAGAAGAGGAGGCUGAGAGGAGACCUCAUUGCUCUCUACAACUCCCUGAAAGGAGGCUGGACUGAGGGGAAGCAAAUCUGGGCUUGCAUCCUCUGCGUGUCAAUAGGUGUCAAG